GAUGAACGCUAGCGGGAGGCUUAACACAUGCAAGUCGAGGGGCAGCACGAGGUAGCAAUACUUUGGUGGCGACCGGCGCACGGGUGAGUAACGCGUAUGCAACCUACCCUGUACAGGGGGAUAACCCGGAGAAAUUCGGACUAAUACCCCAUAAUGAUAUCUGGAGGCAUCUUUAGAUAUUUAAAGUUCCGGCGGUACGGGAUGGGCAUGCGUAACAUUAGCUAGUUGGCAGGGUAACGGCCUACCAAGGCUACGAUGUUUAGGGGACCUGAGAGGGUGACCCCCCACCACUGGUACGUGAGACACGGACCGAGACUCCUACGGGUGGGCAG
rnacentral:rRNA from 1 species